AUGAUCACCACACAUGUUCUGGCGCUGCCAGACUUCGCGCGUCCGUUCACGAUCGAGACGGACGCUUGCGACACGGGCGUGGGCGCGGUGCUUGUGCAGGACGGGCACCCCGUGGCAUACUUCAGCAAGGCACUGGGAGUGCGCAAUCAGAAGCUCUCCACCUAUGAGAAGGAGUUCCUCGCCUUGAUGAUGGCCGUCGAAAAGUGGCAUCAAUACUUGCAGCGCGGCCCCUUCGACAUCAUCACAGAUCACAAGUCUCUCUGCAACCUCGAUGAACAGCACCUGGAGACAAAGCUCCAGCGCAAGGCCACGACGAAACUGGUGGGGCUGCAAUUUCGCUUCCAGUACAGACAGGGACUGUACAACGGCGCUGCCGACGUGCUCUCACUUGUGGGCAAGCAGUUCGAGUUGGCCGCGCUCUCCACAUGCCAGCCAGCCUCGGUGCAGGAGGUGGCCAACUCCUACGUCACCGACGCCGACGCCCAGGAGCGGCUUCAACAAUUGGCGGUGCACAGUCCAGACGAUCAAGGCUAUGAACUCUAUCUCGGCAUCAUCAGGCGCCAAGGUCGUCUCUGGAUUGGGGCCAAUUCGGCCCUGCGCACGAAGCUCAUCGCCGUGCUGCAUUGCAGUGCGGUGGGCGGCCACUCCGGCUCCACCGCCACAUACCAGCGCGUGUGCAAGCACUUUGACUGGCGGGGGAUCAAGCAUGACGUCACCGAGUUCGUGCAGCAGUGCACGGUGUGCCAGCAGGCCAAACACGAGCACUGUUGGGGAACGUUGUAG
rnacentral:rRNA from 1 species